ACGCACGCUGGCGGCAUGCCUAACACCUGCAAGUCGAACGAGACCUUCGGGUCUAGUGGCGCACGGGUGCGUAACGCGUGGGAACCUGCCCUUAGGUUCGGAAUAACUCCCCGAAAGGGGUGCUAAUACCGGAUAAUGUCUUCGGACCAAAGAUUUAUCGCCUUUGGAUGGGCCCGCGUUGGAUUAGCUAGUUGGUAGGGUAAAAGCCUACCAAGGCGACGAUCCAUAGCUGGUCUAAGAGGAUGAUCAGCCACACUGGGACUGAGACACGGCCCAGACUCCUACGGGAGGCAGCAGUGGGGAAUAUUGGACAAUGGGCGAAAGCCUGAUCCAGCAAUGCCGCGUGAGUGAUGAAGGCCUUAGGGUUGUAAAGCUCUUUUACCCGGGAUGAUAAUGACAGUACCGGGAGAAUAAGCUCCGGCUAACUCCGUG
rnacentral:rRNA from 1 species